AUUGCAGUACAAUCACAGCACAGGCUCUGUUUUUCUAUAACCAUUGUUUUCCCACCAAAGGCUAAAAUUUAUGGCAAAAAGCACGACAGACACGGUAUAGAAGAAAUACAACACUCUGUCAUGGAUAUCUUACACAACUCCAGUCCUGCAGAUGUAGUUUGGAAUUCUGAAGCAUUAUUCAAGUGAGUCCCUACAUAGGUUGUCCUCCAAAAGAACCUGCGUGUAGAUCCUGACAGGAGCAACAGAGAAACCUGUGGGGUCAUCGUUCAAGAUGCUAGUCUGUGUUGUCUGGAAGUCAAUGUACAGGGGUGACUAGUGAAUGAACAAGGAAAUCUGCCAAAAAUAGCUGUGGUGACGUGGAUGGAACUGAUUUCUUCAGGUCUGUCCCUGCCUCAGAGUCUGCUUUGGCUGUAAAUUGUUUUUUCUCUCAGUUACCUCUACUUCAGAACUGCUAAUGAAACCCCUGUGUGAGCCACACAACAGGUCGCCAGCUAUCUGACAUAAAUAAAUAGCCUAAAAAUUAAGAAGCCCACUAUUUUACAAAAAACACGCAUUUUUCAUUAUAAAAUUUGCAUCGGAAUAUUUUCAGUUUUUUAGAAAAGUUUUUUUUUUUUUUUUUUCUCCCCUCAAUUUUAAAUAAUUCUCUAGGAUGUUACUUAUUUUCUAGAUUACACUCUUGGCUGAAAAUAACAGCUGUGUGGGAGGUAGAGGUCUGAAGGAGGGUGUCUUUGGGAAAUGGUUGGAUUGCUUGAGAGAUCAAAGGAAGAGAAUUAAAAAUAUGUGGAUGCUUAUCAAAACAGCGCUUCCGGACUGUCAAAGAAUCUAACUGUGGACCAAAGGAAAGCAUGUGAACAUGGCUUAUCUUCACCAUCUUGGCAUGGCAGGUUAAUGGUGCUGGCAGAGCACGUACUAAGAAAUCUUACAGUCUUGAAUCAUCUCAUGGUGAUGAUGCCACUAAACUGUGUCCCCUGACUCACUCUUUUUAUUGUUAUUACAUCCUGUACAUGCUGAGGGGUAACUUCUAUUAGUGCUUUUCUACCUCUAGUACCCUGUGACCAGCAAAUGAGAUCACCCAGCUUCCUCCCUUCACUCAGCCUCGUUCUACUUUCUCCCUCCUCAGCUCUCCUUCUUCUAUGAUGUCCCUCAUGGAUUAGAACAAGGCUUGGGCUAAAAGCUUAAGGAACAUUAGUUUAGAAUGUUUUGGUGGGUAAUAGGGAAGUGUGUUCAACCCUGAGGAUGGUGACUGUCUUCUGCAAGUCAUGGGGUGCCCUGAUUGCUGGUGAAGUGCAUGGUUUGAGGAUCCUACCCAUCCGUCUCUUCUCACCAAUCUGACAGAUUUGUACAUCGAUGCUGUGCUCGCCAGCUGGUCCGUGGGAUUUGCGUUAUGCUAUUUGUUUGGAUGGAUGCGUUCCUGUAAAGAGAUGAUGUCGCGUUUUUCAGCCGGCACAGGAGAUCAGAACCAUCAUAACCCCUUCUCCGCCAGCCUUGAAGUCGGUACAAAUCUAUCUGUACAUUUGGGGGAAAAUAAUUUAAAUGCUGCGAGUUACGGGUUUGCAGGCUGCUGAAAGCUCAACAGCCAUUCAGGCUUCAAAGACAAAAGGGAGAUUUCCCUCUUUAAUCUUCGCCGAUGUUCCCUCACUCAACCCAUCUUGGCUGGAAGCUCUCUGGAGCAGCGCACACAGCGCUCGCCAAUGCGCGGAGCCGUGCGCUCCUGGUGCUAAUAAAGCCAUCGCUCCGGCACGGCAGGUCGGGUGAUUACUGCCUCUGGUAAAUGCUUGUGAGACAAUAAGCAGACAUAGGGAGAAAUGAACUGAUCGAGGUGAGCAAGAGGAUGGGGUGGAUGAGAAACGCGGGGUGGGAGAGCCUCGGCAAUACGUUCACCCAGGGGAACCUCACCCUGCUGGUGGAUUCCCGACCCACGCUCUUAUCUCUCUGCAGAGCCCGCAGUGAAAAGCCAAUGCUGUUCAGGAAGCUUUUUCCUUACAGAUGAGAUAUAAAACCAAUGCCUGCCUAACCACUUAUGUACAUUAAUGAUCCCCCAGUGCUCUCCAAAAGAGGAAAAAUAUUAACCCAGGCAUCAUAAUAAUAUGCUGCUUGCUUAUAAGCCCUGUACAAUUUAAAUUCAAUCUGGUGUGAUGUUAUUUCUGACUUCCUGACCCAAAUUGGUGUGCGUGCAGCUCUGAGCUGUUAAGCAGAUGAUUGUUCCAUCCCAGCAGCAGAUCCAUCUCUCCGAUGCCUUGGAAGGAUUUCUCGGCCUGCGUUGCAGAGAGCCUCUGUUGAAAAAUGUGCCGCAUGUCAAACCGUUGGCUGAGCACAGCACAUCAUCCAUGGGGCCAUUUUUACUGUACACACACAUCCUUCGUUUCCUACGAACACACCACUGCCAGAGACUGCAGAUGGAGAAAGGCUCUCAAAUCCCUCUGUUGGUAAAAAGGCGAAAAUGCUCCAGACGGAUUUUCCUCUCCUUUUCCACCUACCCACAGCUCCUUCAGACAGCGUCCUCCCUAUGCAGCAAAUGCAGUCCUGUGAAGGUCAGGGUUGGUGAUAGGCCCGUGUUUUGCUGCUGUGUGCUCAGGUGCAGAAGGUAUGGGAACCCUCCUGGUCCCACCCUGUCUGGGUUUCCCUGGGAGAGCCCUGGUGCCAGGACCUGCACCCCGGAGCUGCUCACACCCUACCUGCUCCGCAAAUGAGCAGAGCCAAAGCAGAUGGCUUUGUGGAGCAUAAAACAAAACAGAGAGAUCUGUGGUGGCUGCAGAAAUACUGCCCUGGCUCUCCCCUGCGUGAUCAGGGGAUGGCAGGGCUCUCCUGCUCUGGGCAGCUGGGUGAGCCCCUAGAAGCUGGAGCUGCUGGAAGAGCUGGCUGCUGACCGACCUCCUGCAUGCCCAAUCCCAGCUCUGCGCUUGCAUUUGUGUUGCAGCAGUGUUUUCCUGGGAGCCAAACAAAACAGUUGUUCAUGAGCCACUCAGAGUAUGUGCUGGGGCAUGAAGGAGGUGUCAGUUUGUCCUAAUUAGUAAUUGCAACAGACUCACUUUGGUGUAGUGUCCUGCUAAAAGGAAUGGUAUGAAGGAUCUUGUCAUCAUUCCUCUGGAAAGUAAAGUAGUCCUCCCCAGUCCGUGGUCCCAAGCAGAGUUUGCUUGCUGAUACAUGAUCAUGGGCAAUGAAAUGAGCUCCAAUCUCCAUUUACGAGCUUUUACAAUCAAUGGUAUGGUUAAAGAUUGCAUGAUAACCAUGCUGGGAAACUUCUGUUUCUUACUCCCCUGUUUUCAGUUGCAGAUAUUUUAUAAUUCAAUGCUGGACUUGUACAUAAUACUUCAGUACCAUUCAUGCAGGUGGCUCCAAU
ensembl:lncRNA